rnacentral:rRNA from 1 species
UAGAGUUUGAUCCUGGCUCAGGAUGAACGCUGGCGGUCUGCUUAACACAUGCAAGUCGAACGCAACCUUCGGGUUGAGUGGCGGACGGGUGAGUAACGCGUGAGAAUCUGCCUUGGGGUCGGGGACAACCACUGGAAACGGUGGCUAAUACCGGAUAAGCCUUUGGGUAAAAAAUUUAUUGCCCCAAGAGGAGCUCGCGUCUGAUUAGCUAGUUGGUGAGGUAAGAGCUCACCAAGGCAGCGAUCAGUAGCUGGUCUGAGAGGACGAUCAGCCACACUGGGACUGAGACACGGCCCAGACUCCUACGGGAGGCAGCAGUGGGGAAUUUUCCGCAAUGGGCGAAAGCCUGACGGAGCAAGACCGCGUGAGGGAGGAAGGCUCUUGGGUUGUAAACCUCUUUUCUCAGGGAAGAAGCUCUGACGGUACCUGAGGAAUCAGCCUCGGCUAACUCCGUGCCAGCAGCCGCGGUAAUACGGAGGAGGCAAGCGUUAUCCGGAAUUAUUGGGCGUAAAGCGUCCGCAGGUGGCGAUUCAAGUCUGCUGUCAAAGCACGGGGCUUAACUCCGUUAAGGCAGUGGAAACUGAAUAGCUAGAGUGCCGUAGGGGUAGAGGGAAUUCCCGGUGUAGCGGUGAAAUGCGUAGAGAUCGGGAAGAACAUCGGUGGCGAAAGCGCUCUACUGGACGGCAACUGACACUCAGGGACGAAAGCUAGGGGAGCGAAUGGGAUUAGAUACCCCAGUAGUCCUAGCUGUAAACGAUGGAUACUAGGUGUAGCUUGUAUCGACCCGAGCUGUGCCGAAGCUAACGCGUUAAGUAUCCCGCCUGGGGAGUACGCACGCAAGUGUGAAACUCAAAGGAAUUGACGGGGGCCCGCACAAGCGG